UGGGGAAUUUUGGACAAUGGGCGAAAGCCUGAUCCAGCAAUGCCGCGUGUGUGAAGAAGGCCUUCGGGUUGUAAAGCACUUUUGUCCGGAAAGAAAUCCUUGGCUCCAAUACAGUCGGGGGAUGACGGUACCGGAAGGAUAAGCACCGGCUAACUACGUGCCAGCAGCCGCGGUAAUACGUAGGGUGCAAGCGUUAAUCGGAAUUACUGGGCGUAAAGCGUGCGCAGGCGGUUUGCUAAGACCGAUGUGAAAUCCCCGGGCUCAACCUGGGAACUGCAUUGGUGACUGGCAGGCUAGAGUAUGGCAGAGGGGGGUAGAAUUCCACGUGUAGCAGUGAAAUGCGUAGAGAUGUGGAGGAAUACCGAUGGCGAAGGCAGCCCCCUGGGCCAAUACUGACGCUCAUGCACGAAAGCGUGGGGAGCAAACAGGAUUAGAUACCCUGGUAGUCCACGCCCUAAACGAUGUCAACUAGUUGUUGGGGAUUCAUUUCCUUAGUAACGUAGCUAACGCGUGAAGUUGACCGCCUGGGGAGUACGGUCGCAAGAUUAAAACUUAAAUGAAUUGACGGGGUCAUAGCUGUUUCCU
rnacentral:rRNA from 1 species